AGGUUUUGAACCAGUGUUCAUUUGAUCUAAUGUGUCACACAAUUACAUAGCUUUUUUACCAGAUUACACCCACAAGACCAUUUCCCAAAUAGUGACAAAACAAAAUAGCUCUGAGGUUAGGUUGCUUCUUCCAUUUUUAUGUCAGGAUUUUUUUAAAUUUUACUUCUUUGCUCUGACAAGCUGUUCAUCUUCCUCACCAGGAGGAAUUCGUAAUUCUUCAAUCCGAAGGGUUUUGAAAAUUUAUUAAUAUGGAUGGUGUUGGAGAAUCAUCUGAAUCUGGAUCUUCUCUAUCUAGUCCCAAGUUGUCAAAAAGUGGGAGUUUGCGCGAUGAUGAUGCUUGUCCAAGGCAAGUUUCACCGAUUAGGAUUGGUGGAUCCAGGAAUACAAGCCCUUUGGGCCGAGUUGGAUCAAGAAAUACCAGUCCUUCUAGGCAGAAGGCAAUUAAGACUAAACCACGGGGUUUAGAUGAGGAAACAGCAGCUACAUUUGUCAAAGCUGUUUACCCUGACGUUCAAAUGGAGGAUAACAUAUGGGCAAUGUUGCCUGAAGAUCUACUGAAUGAGAUUUUGGCUAGGGUUCCUCCUUUUAUGAUAUUUCGUCUCCGUUCAGUUUGUAGAAGAUGGAAUUCUAUUCUUCAAGACAGCAGUUUUCUUAAAUUUCACUCACAGGUGCCAUCUCAUGGACCUUGUCUGUUGACAUUUUGGAAAAAUUCACAGACACCACAAUGCUCAGUUUUUAGCUUGCCUUUGAAAACUUGGUACAGAAUUCCUUUCACAUUUUUACCACAGUGGGCAUUUUGGUUGGUUGGUUCUUCAGGGGGCCUUGUUUGCUUUUCGGGGCUUGAUGGGCUAACUUUCAAAACUUUAGUUUGUAAUCCUCUCACUCAAACUUGGAGAACAUUGCCAAGCAUGCAUUAUAAUCAACAAAGACAAUUGAUAUUGGUUGUUGAUAGAACAGAUAGGUUUUUUAAAGUGAUAGCCACAAGUGAUAUUUAUGGUGAUAAGUCAUUGCCCACUGAAGUGUAUGAUUCAAGGCUUGACAGAUGGUCACUCCACCAAAUAAUGCCUGCAGUCAAUCUGUGUUCUUCAAAGAUGGCAUACUGCGACUCCAGAUUGUAUCUGGAAACUCUUUCACCAUUGGGUUUGAUGAUGUAUCGGCUUGACACAGGUUACUGGGAACACAUUCCAGCCAAGUUCCCACGGUCUUUGUUGGACGGCUAUUUGGUGGCUGGAACUCAGAAGCGACUGUUUCUAGUUGGAAGAAUUGGCCUCUAUAGUACUCUUCAGAGUAUGAGAAUUUGGGAGUUGGAUCACACAAAGGUUAUGUGGGUGGAGAUCAGCAGGAUGCCACCGAAGUAUUUUCGGGCUUUGUUGAGGUUAUCAGCAGAGAGAUUUGAGUGCUUUGGACAGGAUAAUUUGAUCUGCUUCACAUCUUGGAACCAGGGAAAGAACCUUCUAUAUGAUGUAGAUAAGAAGGUUUGGUCUUGGAUUGCUGGGUGUGCCCUUCAGUCAUAUAACAGUCAGGUGUGUUUCUACGAGCCAAGAUUUGAUGCUUCCAUUUAUUAGGCUGACAAUUUUGUGGUUUGUGGCAUCAAUCAGUCUAUUGUAAUUCAGUGGAUCAUGAGGGAGUUGAGGUGUCAUCUUUGUCUUGUGUUUUCUACUUCUCUCCAUCUCUUCCUCUUCUUUCUCUUUUGCACAUUUGCGAGGGUUCUCUUCUCCAGUGUACUUGCUACUGAUUCAAGUUCCUUUAAUUUUGCACACUGGAUUGAUAUUACUGGUGCAGCACUAAGAAGCAGGUUAGGUCAGCAAGACUUGCAAAUGUGCUGUCAAUGAUAUCACCACCUAGUCCCAAGGCUCUGUGCUGCAUUGGAUUGAGCAUCAACUGGCUGUGAUGCUCAUGGACUGACCAUUGUUACACUGAUCACUUGGCAAGGAAUGGGCUUGUUAGAGAAUGUGCUAAAUGGAUAUUGAUAUCUUGGGGAAAUUUAUAUCCGAAGUCUUGCCAGGAUGAAUUUGUAUCUCUGGUGACAUUACCGAUGCUCUACCUUUUAAGUAUCUGGUCUUUGAAUAGCCAAGUGUACAAAGAGUUCUGCUACAUCACCCGAUUUGCUUCCUUUGAUGCCAGAUCCAGCACACGGCUACAUCUCCAUCGUUUUUGAAGCUUCUUUACUUACUAAACUCCUGCUUUCUUUGAUCUAGAAUCUGUGUUGUUUUUGGUUUCCUUUGGAGGUAUUACAGUUUCAGUUUCUGAAAGAGCUUGGAAAUGGAGAUGAAAGCGGUGGCGGCAGCGACAACAACGGCGGUGACGGCAACUACGAUUGCUCAAUUUUUGUCUCCUCUUCUCAAUAGAUUAGGGUACAAAAGAGCUUGAAAAUGGAGAUGUACUCAGAAGGCAAAUAAAUUAAUAAUUUUAAUUUUUUAAUUAAAUAAUUAAAC